CGCGUAGGCGGCUCGCUAAGUCGGAUGUGAAAACUCUGGGCUCAACCCAGAGCCUGCAUUCGAAACUGACGGGCUAGAGUUCUGGAGGGGAAAGCGGAAUUCCUGGUGUAGCGGUGAAAUGCGUAGAUAUCAGGAGGAACACCGGUGGCGAAGGCGGCUUUCUGGACAGAAACUGACGCUGAGGCGCGAAAGCUAGGGGAGCAAACA
rnacentral:rRNA from 1 species